rnacentral:misc_RNA from 1 species
CGAAGCGCUCAUCUCUUUCUCGAUCAGGGUUUCAUCUAGGUCGGUGUAAGUUUUUCUCUGUGAAGAAUGGCUGGCGGUAUGGUAGCGGUGCCGCCCAAAGGUGGAUUCAGUUUCGAUCUCUGCUGUCGCAAUGAUAUGCUGAUGAAGAAAGGGCUCCAGCUUCCCCCUGUUCUCAAGACCGGAACCACAAUCGUUGGCCUAAUUUUUCAGGAUGGUGUUGUUCUUGGAGCUGACACAAGAGCCACUGAAGGGCCGAUAGUUGCUGAUAAGAAUUGCGAAAAGAUACAUUACAUCGCACCAAAUAUUUUUUGUUGUGGCGCUGGAACUGCGGCUGAUACCGAGGCAGUGACAGAUAUGAUCAGCUCUCAGCUGCAGCUUCACCGUUAUGCUACUGGUAGAGAAUCAAGGGUUGUUACUGCCCUUAACCUUCUGAAGUCGCACCUCUUCAGUUAUCAAGGCCAUGUUAGUGCGGCAUUGGUCCUUGGCGGAGUUGAUGUAACCGGACCACAUUUGCACACAGUCUACCCUCAUGGCUCAACAGAUACCCUUCCAUUUGCUACAAUGGGAUCUGGCUCUCUUGCUGCGAUGUCCGUGUUUGAAUCAAAAUAUAAAG